GACGAACGCUGGCGGCGUGCUUAACACAUGCAAGUCGAACGGUGAAGGGACUGGUUUUGCUGGUCCUGGAUGAGUGGCGAACGGGUGAGUAACACGUGAGUAACCUGCCCCCUUCUUCUGGAUAACCGCAUGAAAGUGUGGCUAAUACGGGAUAUUCUGGGUCUGUCGCAUGGUGGGCCUGGGAAAGAUUGCGCCUUUUUUGGUGUUUUUGGUGGGGGAUGGGCUCGCGGCCUAUCAGCUUGUUGGUGGGGUGAUGGCCUACCAAGGCGGUGACGGGUAGCCGGCCUGAGAGGGUGGACGGUCACACUGGGACUGAGACACGGCCCAGACUCCUACGGGAGGCAGCAGUGGGGAAUAUUGCACAAUGGGCGAAAGCCUGAUGCAGCGACGCCGCGUGAGGGAUGGAGGCCUUCGGGUUGUGAACCUCUUUCGCCAGUGAAGCAGGCCUGCCUCUUUUUGUGGGUGGGUUGACGGUAGCUGGAUAAGAAGCGCCGGCUAACUACGUG
rnacentral:rRNA from 1 species